AACGAACGCUGGCGGCAGGCCUAACACAUGCAAGUCGAGCGCGCCCUUCGGGGUGAGCGGCGGACGGGUGAGUAACGCGUGGGAACGUGCCCUUCUCUGCGGAAUAGCCUCGGGAAACUGAGAGUAAUACCGCAUACGCCCUUUGGGGGAAAGAUUUAUCGGAGAAGGAUCGGCCCGCGUUGGAUUAGGUAGUUGGUGGGGUAAUGGCCCACCAAGCCGACGAUCCAUAGUUGGUUUGAGAGGAUGAUCAGCCACACUGGGACUGAGACACGGCCCAGACUCCUACGGGAGGCAGCAGUGGGGAAUCUUAGACAAUGGGGGCAACCCUGAUCUAGCCAUGCCGCGUGAUCGAUGAAGGCCUUAGGGUUGUAAAGAUCUUUCAGUGGGGAAGAUAAUGACUGUACCCACAGAAGAAGCCCCGGCUAACUCCGUGCCAGCAGCCGCCGUAAUAC
rnacentral:rRNA from 1 species